GCUUCUAUUUUUCUUAUGGCUUAUUUUACCUCUCCACUGCUUUUAUAAAAGCUUUGGACGACCCCUAAGAGCUCUUUUCCUUCCUUCUUCGCAACAAACUCCAUUUCCUUACUCAAAUCUCCCUCAAACCUCCUCAAAUCCUUUAUUUCUCCCUAUGGUUGGGCAUUCACAACAGGAAUUCAAGCAACAACUCUAGCAAUUUGAGGAAUUGUGAUCUGUUGGAGCUUCCAAUUGCUGUGGAGAAUAAUUUCGUGGUUUGUAGACUUGAAGGAGAGUGUAUGGAGCAAUUCUAACUUCAUUUAAUUCAGGGUAGUAAGAUUAAUUUGCUGAAAUUAACUCGAAUUGGAGGUUUUGAGCUGAAAUUGGGUUUUCUAGUAGAAUCUUGGACUUUUCUUGAUCCGAUUAUUGUCAUUGUUAGAUUUUCGAAUUUGGAAUUGGAUCCAUCUUUCCUCUCUGAUUUUGAAGCUUUCUCACCGGAGUUUGCAUGUUGGAAAGAAUUCUCAGAUUCCAGCUUGAAGUGAGUUGAGGUGCUGAGUGCUAUUUUUCUGGAUGCUGAACUGGGCCUCCCUUUCUGGAUCCGAAUUGUCUUGGGGGGGUUUUGGUUGCUGUUUUAGCUGAGAACUGGUGAAGCAACAUACCUUGGUGAUUGGUCUUGUUGUUAGGAGAUGAGUUUGAGGUGUCCGGAACCUGCUGCUAGAGUCUCCAGUAGUGCAAUAGUUUGAGAGGAGGUUGGUUGCUUGUUGGCUCUCGAGUUCUUUAUCUCGUGGUGGGAUUAGCUCUUCAGAGCUGUCGGUUGCUACUGCUACUUCUGAUCGAGAUAAGGGCGUCGCGAGGCAGAUUCCUAUCUACCCUGGACGUUGAGCUAAAAAAGUACUAUUUUGGAGAUAGUAGCUGUUUUUAGUCUUGUAUAUACCGUCGUAUUUUGUUUCAUCUGUUGAGAGUUGUGAGACAUUGUUGUCGUCCUUUCGGUUUAUGUUAUACACCUUGGAUUAUAUGUGACUAUUUAUUUCUAUUUUGGUA